rnacentral:tRNA from 1 species
GGUGAGGUGGCCGAGAGGCUGAAGGCGCUCCCCUGCUAAGGGAGUAUACGGUCAAAAGCUGUAUCGAGGGUUCGAAUCCCUCUCUCACCGCCA